rnacentral:rRNA from 1 species
UCCUACGGGGCGCAGCAGUGGGGAAUAUUGCACAAUGGGGGGAACCCUGAUGCAGCGACGCCGCGUGAGUGAAGAAGUAUUUCGGUAUGUAAAGCUCUAUCAGCAGGGAAGAUAAUGACGGUACCUGACUAAGAAGCCCCGGCUAACUACGUGCCAGCAGCCGCGGUAAUACGUAGGGGGCAAGCGUUAUCCGGAUUUACUGGGUGUAAAGGGUGCGUAGGUGGCAGGGCAAGUCUGGAGUGAAAGGCGGGGGCCCAACCCCCGGACUGCUCUGGAACCUGUAUGGCUGG